GACGAACGCUGGCGGCGUGCUUAACACAUGCAAGUCGAACGGACAGGCCCUGCUUUUGUUGGUUGCUCGAUUGGCGAACGGGUGAGUAACACGUGAGUAACCUGCCCUUGUCUUUCGGAUAACUUCAGGAAACUGGGGCUAAUACCCGAUAUAAGCUCCUGCUGCAUGUUGUUGGUUGGUAAGUUUCGGCGGUUGGGGAUGGACUCGCUGCUUAUCAGCUGCUUUGUGGGGUAGUGGCUUACCAAGGCUUUGACGGGUAGCCGGCAUGAGAGGGUUACCGGCCACAUUGGGACUGAGAGACGGCCCAGAAUCCUACGGGAGGCAGAAGUGGGGAGUCUUGCAGAAUGGGGCGAAGCCUGAUGCAGAAACGCCGCGUGCGGGAUGCCGGCUUUCGGGUUGUAAACAGAUUUCGAAUGUGCCGAAGCGUGAGUGACGGUAAUGGGUAAAGAAGCCACGGCUAACUACGUG
rnacentral:rRNA from 1 species